UGAGUUUAGAUCUAACACAGUCUAGAUCAGAUUGGAAGAGGGUCAUUAAUAUACCCCGUCCAACCCAUGCUAGCAUGGAAAACGGACGUUAAGCCGAGAAUGAUGAUGAUGAUGAUGAGCAUACACUAUCUGUGGAAGAAAUUUUUGUGGAACUUUUUUUUGCAGAACUUUGGGUCAAAUCUGCAAAAAUGUUCCACAGAAAUUUUAGAAAUCAGUCAAAUACGGUUCUAAAAAAUUAUUCUGCAAAAUUUUCCAUUUCAGCUAGCCGCAACAAUUAAAUUUUUUUUUAUUUCUCCAUACUUUGAUUUCUUUAGGAUCUAAGUUAUUAAGUUCUAUGUUGCACAUUUGUAAAUGCCCUAACUUUUGAAUACUAUGUUAGACAAAAUACUGAUUUUGCCUCUGCUAAAAUAAUUGAACUUUAGGCAACCAAAAAUUAAUACUGCACAUUUCGCAUAUAUUCUGCAAAUUGAAGCAUUUUUGUGUACCACUCACCCACAAAAAUAAGUUUCAGGAAAAUUUAUUGUGCAAAUAAUUUGUACCCUUGGUAAGUUUAGGCUCUUACAACAAUUUUGAAUGCAUAUUGAAAUUGAAAAAAAAAAGUUAUAAAGGUAUUGCUUAUAGCCUGGAAAAGAUUUGAGGUCAGCCAUAAUCUAACACAGCCAUUAUCAGCAUUUCCAAAAAAAUGUUGACAGAGUAAACUGCAAACAUUAAUUUGUGAAAAAUGAAUCACUAAAACUAAUAUAUAUUUAUAUAAUUUAUUAUAGUCUUAUUUUGGUUAAUAGUAUUUACUUCACAUUAUUUUUAAGGGAAACUAGACGUCUAUGGUUCUUCUAUGAUUUUACAGAAUUUGUAUCAUGAAAAUUUUUAGAACUUUCUAGGUAGAUCCCAAGUUUUUAUACUUUUUAUAACUGUGUGUAAAUCUGUAUAUUUUUGUUAUUUAUUCAGGUGUAAUUAAAUUGAAGUAUAUCUAAA